AUAAGGCUCAGACCUUAUGGAACCUGGAGCUGCCCUAGUGGAAGGAAGAAAGAAAAGGAGGAAGGAAGGAAGAUGAAGCAAGGAAGCAAGCAGACAAGCAAAUGUGAGUGGAGCAUCUCUAUCAUAAAACUGGUUGAAAAAAGAGCAUACUGGGGACAAG